rnacentral:lncRNA from 10 species
CCUGCCUCAGCCUCCCGAGUAGCCGGGACGAGAUGAGGAUUUUUUUAGACCAAAAGAGAAGCAGUGGAGACAGUAAGAAGUUACUGGAUUUUACUGUUUGCUGAUGAAUGGGAAGUGGAGAAAGAAAGGAGCUCCAUCGCACUCUGCUGCACUGGCCACCUGCAUAUCAAGGUUGCACUUCAUCUGUACGUCCUGUCUCUGGCAACUGUGAUGUUCAACUUCCCUGAACUAGAAGAAGAGGGAAGAAGAAAAACCUCUUCUUUGUUGAGAAUUCAUUCCAGCACAAUUACCCGGCAGGGAGCCUGCCUUCUAGGUUCCCUCCCACGCACUGCUGGAAGCUUCCAGCAUCCUAUCUCUGCAGCUCUAACCCUGUGUCUGCUUUGAUAAGAGCUAUGGUGUAAUCAGCGCAGCCGCAGUUCUCUAGCUCUGAUUCCCCCUUGUGGCUUCUGCAUUCCUGUUGAUAAUUAAAGAAAGCUUUCUUGCCAUGAUGCAGGCUAUAUAAAAUAAGUUAAUAAGUAAUAAAGCAGCUGGCCUUAAGCCAGGAACUUGCUGCUGCUGGUAUCGGUCCCAUCCUGUGGUAUAGUUACUGAGGGGGAAGGAAGCUUGGCUCUCAGACACAGGCUUUUGGAAUGGAUAGCUGAGAGAGUCAGCUUGGCUUGAUGUGCCACUAAAAAUGUAAGAGCCAUAAAGAACAUUCUGUGAGAGAGUUUAUGGGUCCUUGGCCUUUGAAUGAGAUGGAUCGCUGACCCUCCUUCCUAUGUUCCCACCUCAUCUUCUCUCAAGUCCCAGAUUAUUUAACUCUUUUUGCCAACCGUAUCACUGCAUAGCUCACUCCUAUUUUAUUAGGUUUAAAAUAAAUGCAGCAGGGACCUGAUCUCCAAGUUUUGUGUUACUCAACCCUUGAUUUCAUAUCUUCCUUUUGAAGAUUGCACCCUGAUACAUUAAAGAUGAGUGCCUUGAG